UUACGGCCAUAUCAUGUUGAAACACUGUUUCUCAUACAAUCACUGAAGUUAAGCUCUGUCGAGCCUGGUCAGUACUUAGAUGGUUAACUGCUUUGGAAUACCAAGUA